rnacentral:rRNA from 1 species
UACGUAGGCAGCGAGCGUUGUUCGGAGUUACUGGGCGUAAAGCGUGCGUAGGCGGUGUCUUAAGUUUGUUGUGAAAGCCCUGGGCUCAACCUGGGAAUGGCAUUGGAAACUGGCGAUCUAGAGUGCGGUAGAGGGUAGUGGAAUUCCCGGUGUAGCAGUGAAAUGCGUCGAGAUCGGGAGGAACAUCUGUGGCGAAGGCGACUGCCUGGACCAGCACUGACACUGAGGCACGAAAGCGUGGGGAGCAAACAGG